rnacentral:rRNA from 1 species
AGUGAACGCUGGCGGUAGGCCUAACACAUGCAAGUCGAACGGCAGCACAGGAGAGCUUGCUCUCUGGGUGGCGAGUGGCGGACGGGUGAGGAAUACAUCGGAAUCUACUUUUUCGUGGGGGAUAACGUAGGGAAACUUACGCUAAUACCGCAUACGACCUACGGGUGAAAGCAGGGGACCUUCGGGCCUUGCGCGAUUGAAUGAGCCGAUGUCGGAUUAGCUAGUUGGCGGGGUAAAGGCCCACCAAGGCGACGAUCCGUAGCUGGUCUGAGGGGAUGAUCAGCCACACUGGAACUGAGACACGGUCCAGACUCCUACGGGAGGCAGCAGUGGGGAAUAUUGGACAAUGGGCGCAAGCCUGAUCCAGCCAUACCGCGUGGGUGAAGAAGGCCUUCGGGUUGUAAAGCCCUUUUGUUGGGAAAGAAAUCCAUCUGGUUAAUACCCGGGUGGGAUGACGGUACCCAAAGAAUAAGCACCGGCUAACUUCGUGCCAGCCGCCGCCGUAA